UUAUUCCAUCAAGUGUAUUUUUAAUUUCAAUUAUUGUGUUUUUUAUCUCUCUCUCUCUCUUUUUUUAUGUCUCAAGUCCAGUGGGUAUCUUUAUGAACAUUACUUUAAAUUCUCUAUCAGGCAUAUUACUUAUCUCUGUUUUGCUUCACUCUCUUGCUGUCAUUUGUCCCCCCUACUCUUUCACUGGGACAUAGUCCUCUGUAUCCUCAUUUUACCUAACUGUGUCUGUUUCUGUGUGUUAGGAAAGUCAGCUAAGUGUCUUGAUAUUGAAAGUAGUGGAUGGGACGUGCAAUUUUAACCAGAUGGCACUGGUUGUCUUCCAGAGGGGACAAGCAGCUGCUGUGGAGAGCCAGUUGAUCCUGCUCUGCAAAGUGUGCAUGGAUGGGGGGGAGUGCAACUUUAACAAGAUGUGUGCAUCCUCCGCAGGAGGUUGGGAGCUCAUCUCUGGUGUGCUGUUGCCUGAUGGCUGGGUCUGACCCUGGAAUGCAGAAUCAGAUUGGUGGUCUGGGAUGCCAUCAGACAGCUCUUUGUGGCAUAUUGGAGCACUUAUUGGGCAGAACAGGCUUUUCAGGUUCACUGACUCAGGCCUGACAUUUGUAGCCAGUGAAGCCAUAAUUUGGUGUGGGACUCGUCCCUUCCGACUGUGAGGCUGUUAUAAGAAGUGAUGUCUGCAACUUUUCCAAUGAAGACAUACAAAUGGCUAACAGACACAUGCAAAAAUGUUCAACAUCAUUAGCCAUCAAGGAAAUUUAAAUCAAAACCACAUUGAGAUACCACCUUACACCAGUUAGAAUGGCAAA